AUAGUAACAGAACAAUUGCUAAUGGUGUUGACAAGGAAGGGCCAGUGCUUUCAAAGCUUGGUUCAAGUUCCACAGCUGAGCUUCACCCAAAAAAUGGAGCUCAAGGUGAGUCCAAACCAACCAACAUGCCACCUACUAGUGUUAUGACAAGACUCAUCUUGAUCAUGGUUUGGAAGAAGCUGAUUAGGAAUCCCAACACUUACUCUAGCCUAAUUGGCCUCACAUGGUCUUUGAUCUCAUUCAAGAGUCCUUCAAAGUUCAAAGACUUGUUCUUUGAUUGAUUUGAUUAGUCUCUGAAAAUGAAACUGCAGGGUCACACAUUGCUGCAAAGAGCAGCACUAACUACUUUUCCUUUCAAUUUCACCUCUAAUGGCACCACCACAACCCUAACCCUCUCUGUCUUUCGAUGACACCAAAGUCUUCCUCAUAAACGCCUCAGAUUCAUUCCCACUUACACCAACACGGGACCCUCACCACGUGUUGAUGUCAAUAACAACCAGUUACAACAAGAAGAGCAAGAUGAUCUAGAGGUCCGCGUUGAGAAGAUUAUAUAUAGAUGCCGCUUCAUGGCUACUUUUGGAGUCUUUGGUUAUUUAAUUGUGGAAAUUAAUCGUGAAUCGGGUGACGACAUUUUGUACUAUUUAAAGAAUUUCAUUUUUGUUGUUAGUUGGUAGAGGACAAGCAUAGAAUUUAUUAUAUAUAACGUGACUUGUAAUUUUGAACUCUUAAAUUCCUUCCGUUCUUUUAUCCA